rnacentral:rRNA from 1 species
GACGAACGCUGGCGGCGUGCUUAACACAUGCAAGUCGUACGGUAAGGCCCUUUCGGGGGUACACGAGUGGCGAACGGGUGAGUAACACGUGAGUAACCUGCCCACAACUUUGGGAUAACGCUAGGAAACUGGUGCUAAUACUGGAUAUGUGCCCCUGCUGCAUGGUGGGGGUUGGAAAGCUCCGGCGGUUGUGGAUGGACUCGCGGCCUAUCAGCUUGUUGGUGGGGUAGUGGCCUACCAAGGCGGCGACGGGUAGCCGGACUGAGAAGGUGACCGGCCACAUUGGGACUGAGAUACGGCCCAGACUCCUACGGGAGGCAGCAGUGGGGAAUAUUGCACAAUGGGCGCAAGCCUGAUGCAGCAACGCCGCGUGCGGGAUGACGGCCUUCGGGUUGUAAACCGCUUUCAGCAGGGACGAAGCUUUUUGUGACGGUACCUGCAGAAGAAGCACCGGCUAACUACGUG